UUGACCACUUUGUUGAAAAAGAAAAAAGAAACACAUCCUAGCGAUAAAGUACCCACAUCGCCACCGCCUACCUUCGUCCUAUCGUGCGAGGCCAGAUCCGGUUCCUACGGUUUCCCUCCUCCCUCCCCACUCAGGGCGCCUCAACCGUGCUCCGCGAUCCCGACGUCGAGGGUUUCCUCAUGAGUCCGGCGCCACCCUUCCCUCCCACCCCGAACGGCAACCCCGCGGAAUCGGAGGAGCGACAUGAUGUCGACCGCGGCGAUGGUGCAGGUCGGCGACGUGCCGGACCUGACGGUGCGGAACCACCUGGAGCAGGACACCCUCGAGUGGAUCUUCGUCGGUGGCAUGGGCGGCGUCGGCAAGACCAUCUGCAGCUCCAUCGUCUCCAUCUGCGUCUGCUAGUCCGUGUUCGUCAUCUCCAGCGACCCUGUUCUUCAUCCUCAGGGACGCCUUCCAGCAGUGCUUCACCAAGUUCUUCACCCUCGUCAAGGGCUUCUGCAACCUUUACGCCAAGGUGAUUAUUUUCUUCCCUCUCUGUUUGCUUUCCUCCAGUUCACUCCAUCGGCCCUGGGAUCUGCGUUAGUACUUAAUUUAAGGUAUGUGUGGCUGGUUGCCUACUGAUGAACCUGUAUCUUCACAAACAGAAUGGAGAUUCUACUUGUGCUUGUAAUAUGGCGGUGAUUUCAUCUUAUGCUUUCCUUGAAAAAUACAGUUGACAUAAGUUCUAUGACUAGUGGAAAAUAAGUAUGCUAUUUGGAAGUUUCCUUUUUUUAAUAUAUUCUGCCGAGGACAGACUUUCAGCAGUCAAGAUUGAGGUGGCUGACUUGGAGAAAAAAGAGUAGUAAUUAUCUAGCAAUUCCCUCUGGUUCGCCGCAAAGAGAUAUUUCAUGUUAGUUGAACCCUUAUUAUUGCAUCAGUUUUUGUAACUUUUAUGAUCCAAGUUAUAUACAUACUCCCCUAGUCUAACAUUUGUUCUCUUACUGUAGAUUAGUCCAAUGGAGUACUAUUCUGUAGUUUUUGAUACAGCUCCUUCAAGCAUACAUUAUUAUGGUUACUAAAGUUGCAGUAAUGCAGGAGAAGGGUCUAGAGAAAAUGACAGACUUAGAAUAGAUUCAGUCAUCUGUUGAAUCAGAUUGCCAAGAAAAAAAAGAUGAUGCAUGGCACAUGCUGAUUGCGAGGUCAAGAAUUGGGCUUCUACUAGAUAGUUUAGCAUUAUGUUUUAGAACAUCACUUUCAUGGUCACAUUAUGUUCUAUGUAUUUUAUGUAUUUGUAUGUAUUUUACAAAUCAAUUCAAGCGGUGGCAUUGGUUUCAGAUUUUUUUAUGUAUUUUUCUGAAUGUUAAGAGCAUACACAGCCUCUGUCAAGCCCUUGUUUGGCAAAGUUUACUCCAUUCUUUCCAUGGAAAAAAUACUUUUAUUCACACGGCAAAUUUUACUUUAAGUUACCAUGGCAAA